AUUGGGGUGGCAGAGCCCGGCCUAUGUACUAAGACUUAAAAUUUUACCACAGAUGUUCAAAUCAUCUCCCCAAUA
rnacentral:tRNA from 1 species